GCCCCACAACGGGACGAGUGCAGUAAUUUUUUGAAAAUUCCUAGGGAGAUAGGGGCGUGGAAGGGGACACGGAUUGUAAUGCCAUAUGGUACCUAGUCUCGAACUAGCCCAUUACUGUCCCAAAGCCAGUAUUGGCGCGCAUGCGUGCCAAGAGUCUAGUAUGGAGAAAGUGUGAGUUGGCUUGGGGCACUACAAGGAAAAACCUCUUUUGGUCGCAAAAACUAUAAAUUGGCGACGAACUGCUUCUAGGUGGUCGCCAAAAGAUACGUAAUAUUUAGGAAUUCAUUAGGACUUGGCGAACAAACAUAUAAUUGGUCGCCAAAUUCUGAAAACAUGCGCGCGAAACUCAAAACUUGUUGGCGAUGAAAAUAUUGUGUGGCUAAGUUUUCAUGUGUCGUCGCUAAAUUAAAAGUCGCGCGUAAAAAGUUUCGUGGGAUCGGCGGCCAAUGUUUUCUUUCGUCGCAAACCAGUUUGUGCUAAGGAUUAAGCCAAAAAGACGACGUCGUUUAUGUAUGUUAGCUUAUGGGCGACCGAAUUAUUUUGGGGCUAAGCUAGAGAGUAUAAAUAAAAAAAAUAAAAUAUAAGAUCCCAACUCGUUAUUUCCUCUCAGACCCCUUCUCCAUCUUGCAAGCCCUUCUGCUGCUCCAACAUCGCCACCGAUGUCUGCAAGCCUAGGGUCAGAAAUGGACAGUUUUCC
rnacentral:lncRNA from 1 species